rnacentral:lncRNA from 1 species
AAGAAUGUUGCCAAAACAGACUCUUGAAGCUUGGAAUGGCUGGAAACGCAACAAGAACAAUCACGCCAAGUUAAUCAACAAUUCAACACAAAUAAAAAAAUAAUUAAAGAAUAACAAACAGCAAGAAAGAUAAUUAAGUCCUAAGAAGCCUUGAAAUCAAUAAAUAUUUCACAACUCCCUUCAACCGGCUCGAAUCUACCCUCCAAUGUAAAAACACGGCAAGAAGAAGGCAGAAGAUGGC